ensembl:lncRNA
CAAAGUUUGAGUCUGCGGGUCGCGCUCGCCUGCGUCCCGCGCCCCCUCGGAGCUACCCAGGGAUCCAGCGUGCAGUCCAGAACCUACACCACAUGCUAUGGACCUGCGACAUGUGGACACCACGUCCUGUGGACACUGGAGUCGUUCAUUUCCAUGGAAACUUGUAGGUUACUUUACAAGAGAUUGAAUGCCUACCAGCUACCAAGCUUAACCACGAGGCCUCAUAAUGAAGUGGACUUCAUGUUGUGAGCUCUAAGACCCAGAAGACCACAUGUCAGUAAUUAUAAUAUCAUACACCAAUGAACUUAAGGAGCCAUUGAUUCUAUUAAGUAAUUUUAUGUCAAGCUAAAAAGGGAAAAUGGG